rnacentral:rRNA from 1 species
GACGAACGCUGGCGGCGUGCUUAACACAUGCAAGUCGAACGGAAAGGCCCUGCUUUUGUGGGGUGCUCGAGCGGCGAACGGGUGAGUAACACGUGAGUAACCUGCCCUUGACUUUGGGAUAACUUCAGGAAACUGGGGCUAAUACCGGAUAGGAGCUCCUGCUGCAUGGUGGGGGUUGGAAAGUUUCGGCGGUUGGGGAUGGACUCGCGGCUUAUCAGCUGGUUGGUGGGGUAGUGGCUUACCAAGGCUUUGACGGGUAGCCGGCCUGAGAGGGUGACCGGCCUCAUUGGGACUGAGAUACGGCCCAGACUCCUACGGGGGGCAGCAGUGGGGAAUAUUGCACAAUGGGCGGAAGCCUGAUGCAGCAACGCCGCGUGCGGGAUGACGGCCUUCGGGUUGUAAACCGCUUUCGCCUGUGACGAAGCGUGAGUGACGGUACUGGGUAAAGAAGCACCGGCUAACUACGUG